rnacentral:rRNA from 1 species
UACGUAGGGUGCAGGCGUUAAUCGGAAUUACUGGGCGUAAAGCGUGCGCAGACGGUUUGCUAAGACAGGUGUGAAAUCCCCGAGCUUAACUUGGGAAUUGCGCUUGUAACUGGCAGGCUAGAGUGUAGCAGAGGGGGGUGGAAUUCCACGUGUAGCAGUGAAAUGCGUAGAUAUGUGGAGGAACACCGAUGGCGAAGGCAGCCCCCUGGGUUAACACUGACGCUCAUGCACGAAAGCGUGGGGAGCAAACAGG